rnacentral:rRNA from 1 species
CGCAUCUAUAUACAACUUUCAGCAACGGAUCUCUUGGCUCUCGCAUCGAUGAAGAACGCAGCGAAAUGCGAUAAGUAAUGUGAAUUGCAGAAUUCAGUGAAUCAUCGAAUCUUUGAACGCACCUUGCGCUCCUUGGUAUUCCGAGGAGCAUGCCUGUUUGAGUGUCAUGA